AAACGUGCUAGUACGACGUAGAGCGCCUGAUGGCUCUCGGAGGAUUGUGGGAAAUGGAGUUCUCCUUGGAAGGAUGGCAGCGGAGCGGAAGAGAUCACGGGGGUGGGGAAUGCUCCUAACCGCCUCGUGGCAGCUGCGGGAAGGCGGGGAAUCGGAGUACUGUGGCCUGCAGGCCCCUGCGCUGAGUCAGAAGGCGUCCAGGAGCGCGCCUUCCCCUGCCUGCGCUAGUGCCCUGCCCUCCGGGUCCUCCCUGCUAGUCAUUUUCCCUGCUCCAUAAACCCCGGUGGCUUCCUCAGACUGCUGGAGCGAAAUGCUAGUGGCUUCCGGUUCCAUCCUGGCUUUAGAGUCUUGGCCCUUCAUAUGCUCCAAAUUGUGACGGCCAAGCCCAGCUACUUGUGUCUCAACCCCCACGUGCUGUUUCUCUCUUCCGAGCUUUUGCCCAGGCUGCCCUCCGCGCCGGUACCAGACUCCUGUACCCUGACUUUGGAGCUUGGGCGCCCCUGCCCCCAAGGGAACCUUUCCUAGUUCUUCCAAACCCCCAAGUAUCUUCUAUUCUAUGUCUCCCCACCCCCACCCCCAUUACUGUGAAUGCGGAGGGAGGCUCUUUGGGCUCUGACUUUGCAGCCUCAGACCUACAACAGGUAUUUAAUAAGUAAGUGCUGGUGACAGGAGAUACAAAGCCAGACUUCUAGAUAGGAGGUCCUGCUGUGUGACCCUGGGCAAGUCACUUAACCCUCAUUGCCUAGUCCGUAUGAUGCUUCUGCUUGGAAUAAAAUCUUGAUUCUAAAGCAGGUGAGGGUUUAAUAAAUAAAUGCACACAAGGGCACUCCUUGUUCGGACAUGGUCACGGAGAGGGAGGGAAGUUGGCUUUUCCCUACUAUAUGGAUUGUUUUUCUGCAGUGGGACAGAGAAUGAGGAUUUUUCUUUAAAAAGGGAGGGUGAUGCUUUUUGACUGACUACUGAGAGGGGUGAGGAUUCCCAGCGGCCCAAUGCAAUCAGAAUGUUCCAUUACCCUCAUGCUAUGGAGCCACACUCUGGGCAGUCCUUGGAGGGCAUCAAGGUCAGACAAGGAGUAAGUAGAGGGGCAGGAUUUGAGCUCUGGUCCUUUGGCUCCAAAGCCAGUGUCCUUUCCAUUGUACUAUGCUGUUUCCCAAGGGAUAAGCAUGUAUUCAGAACCUACUAUGGGCAGCCAGGUGGUGAAGUAGACAGCUGGGCUUGCAGCAGCCAGGAAGACCUGAAUUCAAGUCUAGCCUUAGCUACUUACAAGCCAUGUGACCCUGGGCUUUGUUUGCCUCAAAAAAAAUCAAAAUAAAAAAGGAGGCAGCUGGCUGGCUCAGUGUAUAGAGAGCCAGGCUGGGAGGUCCUAGGCUCAGAUAAUUCCUGGCUGUGUGACCCUGGACAAGUCACUCAAUCCUGUUUGCCUCAGUUUCCUCAUCUGUCAAAUGAACUGGAGAAGGAAAUAAUGGCAAACCAGGCUAGUACUUUUGCCAAGAAAAUCUCAAAUGGAGUCACAAAGAGUCAGACAGGACUGGAACAAUAGGUAUGAAAAUGUAUAUGUAUAUAUAAAAUGUAUACAUAUGUGAAAGAGUCCUGACUUUAAAUGAUAACUGUGAAUAAAUGAAUGAAAACAAAGCAUUUAUUAAAUGCCUACUGGGCUAAGCUCUAACUAUACAGAUAGAAAGUCCCUGCCCAUGAAAAACUAAUAUUCUAAAAGAGGAAUCAACCCAUCCCCUUCCCUGAUUGCUCAUUCCCAUCCCUAGUCUCUGAUCCUUGCUUCUGAGACUCCAUCCAGAAUACUGAACCUCUAUGGAUCAUGUCUCAAAUAAUUUUGACCCCAAGCUGCCGAGGAACACUUCAUCUCUGUCUCUGAGAUUAUGCUGCCAACUCUGAUCCCCUUCCCUGUUUCCCUAACUGAACCCUUAUCCUCCCUUCAGAGUCCCCAUUCCCAUAGCUGAGCGUCCACCUCAAUCUCUUGAGUUUCCAUCACUGCCUAUGAUAAUCCAUCCUUGUUUCCAAGCCCCAAUCCUCAUGACUACAGUCUCCCCAUUUCUGGCACUGGCACAGCCCAGGUCUCUGAAAACCCAUCCCCAUCUCUGCUUCGCCAUCCCCGGGUCUAAGGUUCUAGCCCUAUCACCAAUGGGUCUUAGAACCCUGUGUCCAAAGACUCUUCCCUAUCUCUGAAUUGCUAUUUCUGCCUCUGAGCUUACAUCUCUGACCUUAAGUCCAUACUCUAUCUCUGAUGCUCUGGAUCUGCCUCUGAUUUCCUCAUCUCUGCCACUGAGUGCUCAUCCCAUUUUUUAGAUUCAAUUCAACAUUAAUGGAGCACCUGCUUUGUCACAAGGACUGAACCAGGCACCAGUGGCACAAUGACAAAAAUGAAACAUGAAAGUCUCACAUAGUUUGGUGGUAAAGGAAUAUGAUACACAAAUAAAUAAGUAAAUAACACAAAGUAAUUUCAAGAGGAAAGGAGGGUUGAGAACUAGAGGGAUUAGGAAGCACCUUGUAUAGGAGGUGGCAUCUGAAUUGUACCCUGAAGGAAGCACUAAGUUUUAAGAGGGAGAAGGGAAAAAAAGAAUGCAUUCCAGCCACCAGAGACUGCCUGAGCAAAAGUAUAGAGAGAGGAGUGAAAUAUGAUGAUGGGUGGGACAAGAAAAAUUCCAGUUUAGAAAAAAAGCAACACUUGGAGACACAAAUGAAUAAAGAUAGAAAUCUAUCAUAACAUUAAAUUUAGAUGAUUUAAACAAUCCAAUAAAAUGAAAAAGUGGCAGAUUGGAUAAAAAAACAAAACUCCACAAUCAAUUGCCCAUAAGAAACAUUUUUUUAAAAGAAAACCCUUACCUUCUGUCUUGGAAUCAAUACUGUGUAUUGGUUCCAAAGCAGAAGAGGGGUAAGGACUAGGCAAUGGGAGUUAAGUGACUUGCCCAGGGUCACAUAGUGUGAUUUUUAAAUCUCCAUCUUGCUUGGUCUAGCACCCAAAAUUGUGCACACCCACACUACAUGGGUAUGUGCUAGUCGAUGACAAAUCAGAAAUAACUGACUGCCCACCUGGGCUGUUUUAAGCCAAGCUUGAGCCACCAUUGGCACAUUACUGGUGACAAAAACCAUUAGGAUGCCCAUUAACAAUUAUGUGCCCACAUGAGGUAGAAGCAUUAUUGCUAAGACAGAGAACACAGGCAUUUUCUGAUCAGCGAAUUACAAGGUAUGAAAUAACCUUGCUAAACAAUGAAAAUAUUACUCUAAAACACUGUACAACCUUUAACCCUGCCACCUUGCUUCCAGACUUACCAACUUCAGGAGAACCAUUACACAGUUGUGAAACACUAGUGUCCAUGGCAGAAAAGCCUCGGGAUGAUCUCUUGGACACUCCCUUAAAAAACUCAGACCUGAUCCUAUUUACUGAUGGUUCUUCUUUUAUGAGGGAUGGCAUACGCUACAUUGGAGCUGCUGUAGUCACAGAAUUUGCCACUGAGUGGUCAGCUUCACUGCCCUCUAACAUUAGCACUCAAGGGGCAGAACUCAUAGCAUUGAAACAUGCCUGUGUAAUUGCCAAGGGUAAAAAGGCAUCAAUUUAUACAGAUUCUAGAUAUGCUUUUGGCCCAGAGAGGAUUUUUAACCUCAGCUGGAAAAUCUAUAGCUAAUGCAGAAAUUAUUAAUGAAGUUCUUUCUGUUCUCAAACUGCUUGAAGCCCUCGCUGUAGUUCAUUGCUCUGCCCAUACAGGUGACACCGACCCUAUCUCUAAGGGAAAUGACUGAGCAGAUGCUGCUGCAAAGCUAGCAGCCAUAGAAGGGCCUGAAUUAAUUUUAACAUUAACAACCACUGAUGACUUAAAUUUAUCACUUUCCUAUAAUGAAAAGGAAGUGGGAAAAUGGAAACAAAAAUUCAAAGCAAAACAGAUCAAUAGAGUUUGGGUGUCAUCUGAAGGAAAACCCCUGCUCCCUAGAAGUUUCUAUCACCAAAUUUGCCAAUCUGUUCAUAAUAAUGGCCACUUUGGUACUCAGGGCAUCAUGGACUCUGUCAAAAGAGUAUGGAUAGCCCCUGGUAUAACUACCAUAGCCUCUAACGUGUGUUCAGCCUGCUCUAACUGCCAGGCAUAUAACAAACAUGCCUUUCGUGGAAAAGCCUUUGGUGGGCGUCCUCUGGCUUACACACCUUUUGAGCACCUGCAGAUAUAUUUUAUAACGAUACCAAAGGUUGGACAUUAUAAAUUUUGCCUGGUCAUAGUAGACCAACUGACCAGAUGGCCAGAAGCAUUUCCUACAGUCCAAGCCACAGCGGCUUUUGUUGCUAAGGUGCUUUUAAAAGAAAUUAUUCCUCACUUUGGCCCGCCAGCACGUAUUGAAUCUGAUAGGGGAAGUCAUUUUACUGAUUCUGUUCUAAAUCAGAUAUAUUCCUGCUUGGGGAUAACUCCAAAAUUCCAUGUUCCAUAUCACCCCCAGAGUUCAGGCCAAGUUGAAAGGAUGAACAAAGAACUUAAAACUAUGAUUGGCAAAUUAUGCACUGAGACCCAUUUAAAAUGGCCUGAAAUUCUCCCUCUGGCCCUAUUUUAUCUUAGAAGCAGGCCUAGAGGAGACCUACACAUCUCACCAUUUGAGAUGCUUUUUGGACAUCCGCCUAUUCAGGCUAAACCUUUCUCCCCCCCGGAUUAUACAUCGCUAUUAGGGGGAGAUACUACUAUUGCUUCCUUUUACAGGAAUUACAGCACAAACUGGGUGAACUACAUGAAUCCGGAGCUGCAGUACAAGCUGGACCACUAGACUUUUCACUUCACGACCUGAACCCAGGAGACGUGUAUAUAAAGAACUUCCAGUGUACGGGAGCAACCCAGCCUUCCUGGGAAGGACCAUUCCAAAUAUUGUUAACUACUCCAACAUCUAUAAAGAAAUGGGAUCAAAAAAGGAGCACAGAGAUAACCUGGAUAAUGCCAACAGAGCCCACAGGUCUACAAAUCAAAAACCAAUCCAGGUAGGAUUCAAGCACUUCUAAGCCAAUACUAAAGCCUUGAACCUAGUGUGAGACUCAAGGUUGCGACACUUGACAUACGUUAAGAUGUAGGCCUUCCUUGUACCCACACUCUUUGCGAAAAUACCUUCAGACAAGUACCAAAGGUUGGCUAUCAUCCUGGCUCCCUCCAUCCCUGAGAAUGAAGGUAAAAUCAGACCAGGGAAUGACACUUCCCUAUUACAAUAAAAAUCGGGUCCUUUUUUCUCUCCUAUAGUAUGGCAACUUCCUAUAGCCUUGGCUGCAAAUGGGUAAGUGAAAAUUACUGCAUUCUGUCCUACAGACUUGUGGGAUUAGAAAUUACUUAACUGGACCCGAAUACCGGGGCCUGUGAGAAAAUUUAUUCUUGCUUUCUCAAAAUUUUGUAUACAUAGAUUUUUGAUAUUUUGAUACUGAUUUUGAAUUCUUCUUUAAUAUAAAUAUAAAUAUAUAGAUAUAGAUAUAGAUAUGGGGUUUAUAUUUUUUCCCUUAAUUUUUCCCUUUUUUUGUUUUUUAUUUUGUUUUCAUUUUUGUUUUUGUUUUUCUUUUGAAUUAACUCAUGCACCCUCCAUAACGAAACCUUGCAUCCUCAGCUGGACUGGGUUUUUCAACACUUUCUUCAGGGGGGAUUAUAUUUUCAUAAAAUCCAAGAUUUAAAUUUUGUUCGAGAUAGAUCUUCAGAGAAGCAGCUUGCUAACUAACUGAAUCCAGAGAAUGAACUGUUGCAGAAAGAUGCCUAAACCCUUACACUACAGGAAGAUCCAGAAUGAACCUUGGGGUGCGGUUGAUUGAACAUUUAUUUUGAAUGUACACUCUUAUGCCAAAGGGGACUGCCCCCUAAUUGGCUUUUGUCAAUGCACCCAGCAAAACAUUGGUUUGCUGUCUCUCUCUCCUAUUUCCCCUUAUCUACAACUAUUGUAGUUUUCCUCUUAAAGGGUAGAAAUUUUGUAUGCACUUGCAGUCAGAAUUUUUUGGGGUGCAGGAUGCUUAUGUUUUAUGAUCAAUUGGGGAGACUAGUCUCCCAAUCAUCACCAGGGGGGAUUGUGAUUUUUAAAUCUCCAUCUUGCUUGGUCUAGCACCCAAAAUUGUGUAUAUCCACACUACAAGGGUAUGUGCUAGUCAAUGACAAAUCAGAAAUAACUAACUGCCCACCUGGGCUGUCCUAAGCCAAGCUUGAGCCACCAUUGGCACUUGUGAGGCACAGGAAGUGAGGUAGAGAACAGCCUCUGGAGUUCGCUGACUUCCUGUGGACAGGACUAGGGGCCAGUUUGUGCUAGGAGCUGGAGCAACGAGGAGGCCCACAGAGAGCUUUCUUUCAGAUCGGUUACAUGAGUCAAGGACUGAUUCUCUUCUCUACCUUGGCCUUCCAGGCCUAAACUCCCUCUGGCUCUGCCAGAAGGUUGAGUUAACCCUUUUCCUUUCCCCCUUCUUUCCUUCUCUCCCUCUCCUUCUUUAUUACACCCACUGUAAUUAAACCACAAUAAAACUCCA